rfam:Picea glauca, whole genome shotgun sequence.
GGGAGGGAUCCUUGCGGGUGUGAUCAUACCGGAUCCCAUCAGAGCUCCGCAGUUAAGUGCGCUCGGGCUAGAGUAGUACCGGGAUGGGUGACCUCCCAGGAAGUCCUAGUGUUGCACCGU